CCGCUGCUGUCCGACGUGCUGCCGGGGCUGAACGGGGUCGCGCUGCUGUCCAGGCCGAACGAGGGGCUCAGCGGGUCGGCUUUGACCGGCGCAUCGGUCGGGGACGGAGGGUCAUCAGAGGCCGGAUCCAAAAGACUGAUAUGAGGUCCAUAACUGCUGUUCCCCAAGGAUUGCGUGUGUGAAAUGUCUGUGGUGAUGGGAGGAAGACAAGCGAAGGAGAUGCAGGGAGGGAAUGGAGCUGCACACUGAGCAGGAGCUACAGAGCUGCAGGUUUAUGCCGAGACUGCGGCAGAGACCCAGACACCGAGACGGAUGAUCCAGCCGAACCGCGUCUAGUCGAGGAAGCGGAGGCUCCACCAGACGGCCCCGGACGACCUGCAGCAAAUCCACACACUUUAGUUUAAAGACCGUUUAA